AAGAAUGGGUCGGUCGCCUCGUCAGCUCUAGAUGGAUGACCAAGAAUCGCCAAAACGGUACUGCGGCCUUGAUGCUGGCCUCUGCGGCCAAUAAGGUCUCUUCAAGUUCUCGUCGGUCCGUCCGUCUGGUUUUCGGGCCUUUUUUUUGUUGUGCUACCUUUUUAGCACCGUAGGACCAACAUCGGCUGAUUGGAGGACGAAAAUGUCCUUUAACUGCGUUGCUACCUAACCUAACCAUGAGCUCAUGUUUGGUUAUAGCCUGUAACCCAAACAACGGCAGUCCAAGGGUCGAACGUCAGUAAAGCAGUUUGGUUUGCUAGUCUGGAGAAACUAAAAAGAGUACCUUAGGAACGCUGGGGAAUGCAACAGCGUCUGGAUCCCUCGCUGGUGGAUGGUGUGCGUUGCGGAUGUGGCGGUGACCAGUGUGGCGGUGACCAGGGUGUCGGUAGCCGAUGUGGCGGUUGUUGAUGCAGCGGUUGGUGAUGGAAGCCUUCUUCUUUGUGCGGCAGUGGAGGUGGAGGAGGCGUGGAUUUUGAUUUUUAUGUUUUUGACUUUUAGUUUUGAAAUGUCCACUUGUUUAUUUUAAUUUUAAUCUCUAUUUCUUUUCAGGUUUUUAAUAUAUUCCUUUUUUCAGGUAUUUAACGUUCAUUUCAUUUCAGAUUUCUGACAAAGUUUUUCUUCUCUUUUUUUUUUACGUUACCAUUUCAAUUGGCUCUUUAUGUAUCGUCUCUUCACUUUUCAGGCAUUUCAAAUUUUCUAUUUCUUUUUUUUUUUUAAAAAACUGUCCUUUUUAUUUUGUUUAAAUCCGUUUUUUUCACAUUCAUAUGAAUUUAAAUAAAACACAUUUACCAAAUUUA